rnacentral:rRNA from 1 species
GACGUAGGGCGCAAGCGUUGUCCGGAUUUAUUGGGCGUAAAGAGCUCGUAGGCGGCUUGCCACGUCUGCCGUGAAAACCAGCAGCUUAACUGUUGGCUUGCGGUCGAUACGGGUAGGCUGGAGUUCGGUAGGGGAGACUGGAAUUCCUGGUGUAGCGGUGAAAUGCGCGAUAUCAGGAGGAACACCGGUGGCGAAGGCGGGGUUCU